rnacentral:rRNA from 1 species
CAGUCGCCACGGUAAGACAGAGGAUGCAAGCGUUAUCCGGAAUGAUUGGGCGUAAAGGGCUCGCAGGCGGUUUCUUAAGUCUGACGUGAAAGCCCCCGGCUCAACCGGGGAGGGUCAUUGGAAACUGGGAAACUUGAGUGCAGAAGAGGAGAGUGGAAUUCCACGUGUAGCGGUGAAAUGCGUAGAGAUGUGGAGGAACACCAGUGGCGAAGGCGACUCUCUGGUCUGUAACUGACGCUGAGGAGCGAAAGCGUGGGGAGCGAACAGGAUUAGAUACCCGUGUAGUCCCUGUCUCUUAUAC